AUUGAACGCUGGCGGCAGGCCUAACACAUGCAGGUCGAGCGGAUGAAGGGAGCUUGCUCCUGGAUUCAGCGGCGGACGGGUGAGUAAUGCCUAGGAAUCUGCCUGGCAGUGGGGGAUAACGUCCGUAAACGGGCGCUAAUACCGCAUACGUCCUGAGGGAGAAAGUGGGGGAUCUUCGGACCUCACGCUAUCAGAUGAGCCUAGGUCGGAUUAGCUAGUUGGUGGGGUAAAGGCCUACCAAGGCGACGAUCCGUAACUGGUCUGAGAGGAUGAUCAGUCACACUGGAACUGAGACACGGUCCAGACUCCUACGGGAGGCAGCAGUGGGGAAUAUUGGACAAUGGGCGAAAGCCUGAUCCAGCCAUGCCGCGUGUGUGAAGAAGGUCUUCGGAUUGUAAAGCACUUUAAGUUGGGAGGAAGGGCAGUAAGUUAAUACCUUGCUGUUUUGACGUUACCAACAGAAUAAGCACCGGCUAACUUCGUG
rnacentral:rRNA from 1 species